UUAUUAUCUAAAUCUCUCAAACAGAGAUAUUCAGUAACAGUUCUUUAAAGUAAAGGCUAUUUGCCAACAUAAGGUGGCUGUCCUGGAUAGGAUGAUUGUUACUGUUGUUUAACCCCAGGAAACAUCGGUUUCUAGCUGGCUGUACGACACAAUAUCUGUGUGUCACCUUGAAAA